UGUCAUUUCCGUUAAACGCUAUGAGGAUGGCACAGUUUCAUCAAAUGCUACCAAUGUAAGCCAUCCAAACUGUCCUCCUCAACCUGGCUACGUCAGAGGCUUCAACCAUCCUUGUGGCUGUUUUUGUGUUCCUGUUCCUGGGGAACCAGGCAAAAUGCAGCUGUUCAGCUUUUUCCAGACUGAUCUUGGAGGUUUGCUUCCUCGUUCGGUUGUCGAUUCAUUUUUCCCCACUAGUAUGGUGGAGUUUUACAGCAACCUGACCAAAGCCGUAAAAUCGCUGAAAUAGCACCAAUGGCACUUUAUAGAUAAUAUACCCCCCUUUAAUCUUAAAUGUGAAUAUUUUAAUAAUUUAAUUGCAUUUAAUUAAGUUUUAGUGGAAAGUGAAUUUACUGUACUUAUAGAUUUAUUCCUGAUUCUUCCAAUAGCUACACGUGUCCAAACACACUUGCACAUAGAGUUAAGAGUACUGGAACAUUUUGUUUGAUAUAUUAUUUCGGAAAUUCUGAAAACUUGAUUCAAACGAUGAACUAUUGCACAAAAAAUUAUACAUUUAUGCAUUUGGCAGAUGCUCUUACAGGGUUUCUGCGGAUUUUAAUCUUAAUUCACUUUUACACAAAUUAAGGUCUUAAAAGGCCCUAAAUAGGUGCAGAAAGCUUAUAAAUGCAUUCAAUGUUGCAUGCACUGCAAAAAAAUAUAUAUUUUUCUCAUAAUUAUUGUCUUGGAUAUUUUGGCGGAUCAAAUAUCUGAACAUCUUUAAUCAAGAUACAUUUACUUGAGAUGCAAAAUUAAUAUAUGAAGUCUGAAACUGAACUAAACAGCACAAAAUUAAGUGAGUUUAUGCUUAAAACAAGAACAAAUAUUUGUCAGUGGGGUCUGAAAUGGGGUCUCAUUUUGAGCCCUUUGACAGAUUUUUGUUCUUAUUUUAUUCAUAAACUCCAUUUGGAUACAUUUCUCAGAAACAUGGCAAUUUGCUUCUUGAUUUAAAAAUUUUUUAGAAGCUUGCAGCACAAAACAAGACAAAAUAACUGAGGAAGAACAUCUCUUUUUUGCAGUGUGAUCAGAAGCUACAAUGAAAGUAAUUACCAUACUCUUGGUUGGGAGCAGAGGUAUUUAAGCCAUAAGCUAUUUUUAGUCAAAUGUAGUAAAAAGUAAAAGAGUUUUGUUGGAAGUUUCAAACUUGCUAAUACAACCCAUUGUCUGCUCUAGACAUUCACAUUCAGAGAACAUAUUGAUGUUUUGUGUUCCCUUCACUCCAUUUCAUAAAUUUUCUUUACAUUGUCUUAAAAUGUCUUCAUAAAAUCCUGCAGAAACCCUGUUUUAUCCAAAGUAACUGAAAGUGCAUUCAAAUUAAAUCGUAUCAGUCUGUUUGUUAUAUGGGAACUGAACACGAUGUUGGUGUUGCUAGCAUCAUGCUCCUUGCCUGUUGCAGAGUCAUUCCAUCAGGGUUUUUUUUAACCAUAAUUCAGUAGUGUGAUCCUAUAAUGUAGCAUGAUAAUAGAUUUGGAUUAUUUCAUUCAUAUAGGGCAUUGUUAACUUUUUUGGACUAUACAGCUCUAUUUUAAAAGGUAGUGAGCGGCCUUGCCGUCUGCUGGUUUGGAGCUCCCUACAUAGGCAGCACAAAUAAUGCUCCUCACAUGAAGCAUAAGGGACUGGACUCACGAUUGAUUUAAAGAGUUUGAUUUUAUCAUACAACAUGACGCUACUUUAGAAUGAGGUAUCUUAGAAGGCAACAUAGGGUUACUGCUUCUGUGUCAGGAGUGCAUGUUUGAUGUCUGGCCUAAAUAGGCAGUUCACUCAUUUUUGGAACAGAGUUUUAUUUUAAUAAGCUGUUUUGAGAAUUUCAGUUACGUAUUUGAGGACAGUUGUCUUAGUCUGGAGAUUACAUUUUUGAGUAAUGGAGUUUUUGAUAGAUGCUCAAGCUUGACCCUUAUACACAAGUCUGGGUGUUAAUUAUGCUGAAACUUUCUAUAAGUAUUUCUAUAUUUGAAUAGUGAUAUUUUAGCGCAUAAAUGGCUUUGGCAAAUCAAUGUUUACUGACAGACACAUAUCUUCAGACAAAUUUGAAGAAUUGCAUUUACUGCUGUUCUCUGUUGACACAACUGAGUUUAUGUACUGUAUUUUUGAGACUGACAAAAAAGGCCAGAACAGUCAUGUUAUGAUAUAAUGAUAAAAGAAUAGGCCACAGGCUCAAGGUUUAGCUGGUUAGCAUGACCCCAGUGGCCCCUGCUGGUGGCCCAGUAUAAAGCUUUUUUCUCCACUGAUGGCCAAUCAAAAGUAUCCUUGCGUUUGUGUAUACAAGUAUCCACAUCUACUGGGUCCUGUGCCAGCCAGACCAGCAACUGCCAUUAAGAUGAAUGAGAAUUCUAAUAGAACGGGGAGUUGAGUGGAAUCCUGUGUGGAAUCAGAGUAAUUAAGAAUGACUGAAAUUCCAAUUUUAUUUUAGUUCCCGAGUUUGAAUUGAGGUAGAGAACAGGAUGCGGAGUUUGAAUUAGAAUUUACUGAAUUGAAUUAAACAAGUGACUGAAUGAAAUUUAAAGAAAUCAUCUGAAAUAUUUAAAAUUAAUAUUAAAUAUAGUAUGUUAUAUACUUAAUAAAUUAACUCAAUGAGUUAAUCAUUUGAUGAAUCAUGGAAGAAAGUUAAAAGGGAUAGUUUACCGAACAAUUCUGUCAACUCGCCCUCGAGUUGUUCCAAAUCUGUAUUUAUACUUGAAGACAAAAUAUAUUUAGAGGAAUGUGGGUAACCAAAUUAUUGCUGGUAGCCAUUGACUUCCGUAGUAUGAAAAAAAAAAAAUAC